GAGCGUUACUUCGGUUAGAACGUUUGAUUUGGGAUCAAAAGGACGCGGGUUCAACUCCCGCCCAGAGGUUUA
rnacentral:tRNA from 1 species